GGCGCGGCGCGCGUCGUGGCGGCGGCGGGCGGGGCGCGUCUCGCACGCAGCGCGCCGGGCGGAGCGCUCGCCGCAUUGUUUGCUUCGCUGGGGAGCGAGCAGCGCCUCGGCAGGCGUCCGAGCAGCUCCGCGUCCGCGUCCUCCGCCCGGCCGGGCCCCGAGCCGGCCUCAGCCGGCCGUGCCGGCGCCGCCGACCCCGCCCGAGCCGCGGCGCCCUGCGGGCCCGGAGCCGCUGGCCGAGCGCGCCCCGGAGCCCGGCGGGGCACGGCUGCGCGGCCGUUGGCGGAGGAGCCGCGGCGCCAUUAGCGCCGCCUCGGCCGCGCCGGCCUCCGCGCCCGCCCGCCCGCCGGGCUCCCGCGGCCGCGGCGCCCCCGAAGGUAAUCAUUGCCAAAUGAGGAGGAAAGGACGAUGCCAUCGAGGUUCUGCAGCGAGGCAUCCUUCUUCCCCGUGCAGUAUUAAACACUCCCCCACUCGAGAAACACUGACCUACGCACAAGCUCAAAGGAUGGUGGAGAUAGAAAUCGAAGGGCGCUUGCAUCGGAUCAGUAUUUUUGAUCCCUUGGAGAUCAUACUAGAAGAUGACCUCACUGCUCAGGAAAUGAGUGAAUGUAACAGUAAUAAGGAGAACAGCGAGAGGCCGCCUGUUUGCUUAAGAACUAAGCGUCACAAAAACAACAGAGUCAAAAAGAAAAAUGAAGUCCUGCCCAGCACCCACGGCACACCGGCGUCAGCCAGUGCCCUUCCCGAGCCCAAGGUGCGGAUUGUGGAGUACAGUCCUCCCUCUGCACCCAGGAGGCCCCCUGUGUACUACAAGUUCAUCGAGAAGUCAGCCGAGGAGCUGGACAACGAGGUAGAGUACGACAUGGAUGAGGAAGACUACGCCUGGCUAGAGAUCAUCAAUGAGAAGCGGAAGGGUGACUGCGUCUCUGCCGUGUCACAGAAUAUGUUUGAGUUCCUGAUGGACCGCUUCGAGAAGGAGUCUUACUGUGAGAACCAGAAGCAGGGUGAGCAGCAGUCCUUGAUAGAUGAGGACGCUGUUUGCUGCAUCUGCAUGGACGGGGAGUGCCAGAACAGCAACGUUAUACUCUUCUGUGACAUGUGCAACCUGGCUGUGCACCAGGAGUGCUAUGGGGUACCCUACAUCCCCGAGGGCCAGUGGCUUUGCCGCCACUGCCUGCAGUCUCGGGCCCGCCCUGCGGAUUGCGUGCUGUGCCCGAAUAAGGGCGGUGCCUUCAAAAAGACAGACGAUGACCGCUGGGGCCACGUGGUAUGUGCCCUGUGGAUCCCAGAGGUUGGCUUUGCCAACACGGUAUUCAUUGAGCCCAUUGACGGUGUGAGGAACAUCCCUCCUGCCCGGUGGAAACUGACAUGCUACCUCUGUAAGCAGAAAGGCGUGGGUGCCUGCAUUCAGUGCCACAAAGCAAAUUGCUACACAGCAUUCCAUGUGACAUGUGCCCAGAAGGCUGGCCUAUACAUGAAGAUGGAGCCUGUGAAGGAGCUGACUGGAGGCAGCGCCACGUUCUCUGUCAGAAAGACUGCUUACUGUGAUGUCCACACGCCUCCAGGCUGUACCCGGAGGCCGUUGAACAUUUAUGGAGAUGUUGAAAUGAAAAAUGGUGUGUGUCGAAAAGAAAGCUCAGUCAAAACGGUCAGGUCUACGUCCAAGGUCAGGAAAAAAGCAAAAAAGGCUAAGAAAACACUGGCUGAGCCCUGUGCGGUCCUGCCGACCGUGUGCGCUCCGUAUAUCCCCCCUCAGAGAUUAAAUAGGAUUGCGAAUCAGGUGGCCAUUCAGCGGAAGAAGCAGUUUGUGGAGCGAGCCCACAGCUACUGGUUGCUCAAAAGGCUGUCUAGGAAUGGUGCUCCCCUGUUGCGGCGGCUCCAGUCCAGCCUGCAGUCCCAGAGAAACACGCAGCAGAGAGAAAAUGAUGAAGAGAUGAAAGCUGCCAAAGAGAAGCUAAAGUACUGGCAGCGGCUGCGACAUGACCUAGAGCGUGCACGCCUGCUAAUUGAGCUGCUGCGCAAGCGGGAGAAACUCAAGAGAGAGCAGGUGAAGGUGGAGCAGAUGGCUAUGGAGCUCCGGCUGACGCCGCUAACUGUGCUGCUACGCUCAGUCCUGGAGCAGCUACAGGAGAAGGACCCUGCAAAGAUCUUUGCCCAGCCCGUGAGUCUCAAGGAGGUACCAGAUUAUUUGGAUCACAUUAAACACCCCAUGGACUUUGCUACAAUGAGGAAACGGCUAGAAGCUCAAGGGUAUAAAAACCUCCAUGCCUUUGAGGAGGAUUUUAAUCUCAUUGUAGAUAACUGCAUGAAGUACAAUGCCAAGGACACCGUGUUUUAUAGAGCUGCAGUGAGGCUGCGCGACCAGGGAGGGGUUGUCCUGAGGCAGGCCCGGCGAGAGGUGGAGAGCAUUGGCCUGGAAGAGGCCUCGGGAAUGCACCUGCCUGAGCGACCCAUCGCAGCCCCUCGGCGGCCCUUCUCCUGGGAAGAGGUGGACAGGUUGCUGGACCCAGCCAACAGGGCCCACAUGAGCUUGGAGGAGCAGCUGAGAGAACUUCUGGACAAGUUGGACCUGACCUGCUCCAUGAAGUCCAGCGGCUCACGGAGUAAACGGGCAAAGCUGCUUAAAAAAGAGAUUGCUCUUCUCCGAAACAAGCUGAGCCAGCAGCACAGCCAGGCUCCGCCCACAGGGGCAGGCACGGGAGGCUUUGAAGAUGAGGCUGCUCCACUGGCCCCGGACACAGCGGAGGAAGGAGCUAACUCUCCCCCUAAACUUGAACCAUCAGAUGCAUUACCUCUUCCUUCAAACUCGGAGACUAACUCAGAACCACCAACCCUCAACCCAGUAGAACUCCACCCCGAGCAGAGUAAACUAUUCAAAAGAGUCACAUUUGAUAAUGAAUCACAUAGCACUUGCACUCAGAGCGCACUGGUAAGCGGACACCCUCCAGAGCCCACCCUCGCCAGUAGUGGCGAUGUGCCGGCGGCGGCGGCCUCCGCAGUGGCGGAGCCAUCAAGCGAUGUAAACAGACGCACUUCUGUUCUCUUCUGCAAAUCGAAAAGUGUAAGCCCCCCAAAGUCUGCCAAGAACACUGAAACCCAGCCAACUUCUCCUCAGCUAGGGACCAAAACCUUUUUGUCUGUAGUCCUUCCGAGGUUGGAGACUCUACUGCAGCCAAGGAAAAGGUCGAGGAGCACAUGUGGAGACUCCGAAGUGGAGGAGGAGUCCCCGGGAAAGCGCCUGGACACAGAAUGGCAGUAGCUUUCAGUGGAUGCAUGAUGAAUUCCUAAUCGCACUCCUGAGCAGCCGGGAGCCUUGUUAGCACUAAGAUCUGACCCUCAGGAACAGGAGGCGUCCACUGCUGCAUCUGCCUGGCCCAUGGUGGGCCAGGCCUGGGCUGAACGGGCCCAUCCUACCAUCGGUGCUGGCUGUGCCUCCACUUGAACCUUGUGGUGCUCUCUGCGCACCUGGAUUUCUUGUUUCAAGUUGCAGUUCUUCGCUGUUUGAGGACUUGGAGUAUUCAGAACCUUCUGGUCUUUUCCAGGUUCAUCGGGCACUGAACUUGUAGGGAAUUCUCUGGUGCUCUCCAGUGCACUGCAAGAUUCCAAGUUAGAUUAAGCGUGGACUUACCUAUUUUAAAACUGCCCACCCACAGGCCUCAGCUUGCUCAUGCCUGCAGGACAGGCAGGCCAUGUGGGCAGUGCCGAGCAUGGUGUGACUGCUCUUAUGGUUUUCAUAUUUUUUGGAGCUGGCUCUGUUUCGUAGGUUUUUUUUACUCUGCCUGUUUAUUUCCAUCAAUGGACCGUCAGGCCAGGACCUGUGUCACCUCUUACUCGUACUCUGUGGUGUGGAGAUUCUCAAUGAAAUGUGUGGUGUGGUAGUGGUGAGCAGGUGAAAUGUCUUCCCUGGCCAUGGACUGUUGAGGGAGGAGAUGAUCCCUGCCCUUGCAGUCAGACUAAAUGGCUUCUCACUGUUUUCCAGGUUUUCAGUUAACCACUAAUGUGCCUGGGUAGCUCACUCUUUGGAUCCUAAUCCUUUUCUCUUAACCUCGACUUGGACUGGAGUUCUGCUAAAUGGCCUCUUGGAAUGCAAAGCCUUCGCUGCCUCCUUACCUUCUCCUAGUUCUUGAGGACCACAUUGGAAUCACCUGCUGAGCCAUCCUCUAAACAGACACCUACCUAACCUUGAAGGAGAUCUGUCCUGGGCCAGCGUACCCCUCUCUCAGCCCAGCAGUUGAGAGGAGCCUGGUGCCUGAGCAGAUGUCUCUCGGUGCCUCCGUCUUGCUGGUGCUAUAGCAGAGCCUGCUGUAGCUUGGACAACACAAUCCAACAGUUUGAGCCUCAUCCUGAGCACACUCAGAACUGACCUGGGAUGGCCGGGGGCUCCGGUUAGGCCGUCGUGGUCUAGGUGUCUGAAGGGACUGACUGCACAUACACUGCCCGAAUGGGCCUAAAUAGAGCUCCUUACUUGGUUGUUAGCAUCUUUUAUUUCUUUGUUCUGUUCUCCCUCCUUUCUUCUCUCUCAAUGUUUCUUGGAUUCGUAGGCAUUGCUAAUCUAGUUGGAACCUGUGCAGAUAUCUGCAGAGCCAGCUGAGAAGUCCUCCUGCAGUGCCCUUGAGUUGGGAGGGCCUUUGGCAUGGCCUCUGGCUUGUGUUGGCCAUGUGCAGCUGUCUUCAUAGACUGUACUUAUGAAAAGCAGAGUGGUGGGUGGGGUGGUCUUGCUCACUGUGCUUUAUUGAAAGGUGGAGCGAUGCACCCAACAUAAAGUUCUUUUGGAGACAACAAAGUCAAGUGUGAUCAGAGGACAGUAAUAGAUGCUUUUGCUGCCACCCUUAGAUGGUUGCAUUCCUAGCCUAGGGCACGGUCCAGCCUGGGACACAAGCUUGUCGAUGUGCACUAGGUGGGAACAAGCUGGAGCUUUGGGCAGCAUGAUUCUGUGCUGUCUCAGAGGAACCUGUGCUCCGGAGGCGUCUGUGGUGGCAGGUGUAUCAGCAAGGAUGCACUCAGUGACUACAGUCUCAGGCACAGCUCAUGGCUUCUGUAGAGGGUGGGAAGCCUGUCAGUGCCCUGAUGCUCUCACGUGCUGCAGCCUGUGAGCUCUUGGCACUGUGCUGGUUGGGAGCCCAGGGUAGAAGGGAUCACGUCCCUACUUCCCCACUGUGUGCUUCUGAGCUUUCCAGGUAGACCACCUGGGACCUCUCCCUGGCCUGUGGGUGAGAGCUGGAGACCUGAGCACCUCAGAGGACCCUUUAUUGGCCACUCCGUGUAACCCAGUUGUGCUGUAGAAGACCUGGGCUAAGGGGGAGCUUUUAGGGAAGAUGUGGUAGUUAAAAGGCUGGGGCUGGGCCUGUCUUGGGACACAGUUGCAGUGGUAUUUUGGUGGGUUCCUCUGGGCCUGAGUAAGGUAUUUGAACACUCUCUUUGGAGGCCUCAGGACCCUCUGUGACUGACAUGUGCUUGGGGUCCUUGGUCUUGUGUAGGAGACAUCUCACCUUUGUUUUGGUUGUCAAGAGCAGUAGGCAUGUGUGUGAUCUUCUACAGUAAGCUUUGGGGGGGGAGGUGAGGGGGUGGGAGGAGCAUCAUUUGGCUCUCCUUCCUGCAGCUAAUUGGAGAGUCAUUGUAGGAAGUGGAUCACAAAGAGCGAAGCAGAGACACAAAGCUCUUUACUUGGCUCUGUGUCAAAGCCAUGUCAUCUUCAGACAGUGUCUGCAAGAGCUUUUCAAGCUUGUGUCUCCGGCCCCUGUUGCUUCUCAGGGCAUGUCCAGGGCCUUGGAAGCCGACAAGAAUCUGGCUGGGCCAUGCAAGCACCGUAGUUGUGUUUGGGCUGUAGCACCCUAUGAAAAGCAGGCCUGGAGAUGGCUCUGCUCAGCGGGCCCCAGAGGUCUUUCCUGAAAGCUGCUCAGGUUUCAUAGUGGCUCUGCCAGCUUCUCAAGGUGUUAGGUAUUUUUAUGUAAUGUGUGAAAACUUUCUGUAAACUUAGGAGCCCAGAUGCAGUGUGCCCUAAUAAUUAGACACUUGGGAAAAUGAGAGAGAGAUUUAAUCAUAUUUUUUCCUUUCUCAAAGUUAUAAAUGUUCUCUUAGUUUUUCUAAACCCCUUCCCCCACAAGGGACUGUUUAGGCCCUGACAAAGUACCUUGCUAUGGGUAAAGCUGUUGCCAUCUUUGUUGGGAACACCAAGUGUGUGUGUGUGAACUGUACUUCUGGGUUCUUCUAGGUUUCUUUCUAGCACAGAGAUGCCAGUGUUGGGGACCUGCUUGUCCAAGACCUUUAGACUCUGCAGACCUGCCUGCAGGUGCCUGCUCUGCCUAGCCAUGGCAGAGAUUCUGGGCUUGUAGUCUUCUAAGAUCUUGAGUCCUGGAGCAAGGGCUUUGCCUCCGUCCGUCCAUCCAGGUGACAGGGCCAUCUCUGUGUUGACUUUGCUAACCUAAGUCAGCAGGUGUCCAUGUCCGAGUUGUGUGUUGCACCGGCCAAGGCAGCACCACGCUCUGUUGCCUCCUAAGAGUUGCUGGGCCUUGAGGCCCUUUAGGAGAGGGGUGUGGCUUCUUCCCUGUCUUGUGUCUUCUGCUUUGCCAGUGAGCAAGCAAACGAGAACUUCUUGAAGCGUUUUUGACCUUUUUUAGCACAAGCAGGUCCUUUCCCAGGCGUGAUAUGGGAGAACGCAACGAAGACCUUGUAAUCUAGACAGUCACCUCAUACUUUUAAGAAAAUGUUUUUCAAAAAUAAGUUUACAUGUUUUACUUUGGAAAAUAGUUUAAAAAAUUUUUUUAAGGUUAUAUGGGGAAGAUGGGUAUAUGUGAACAAAAAGAGUGUUGUCUGUUUGCUGUUCCCGUCCCCUUCUCUUUCUUAAGCUGGUGUAGCCAGCAGGAGCCAUGCAAGCGCACAGCCUGGGGACAGGAUCCUUCUGAUUGAGGGAGGUCUGCGAGGACCAUGGGUGGCCGGGCCUUUCCUGCUUUACCGACAUAGAGUCAGGGUCAGACUUGCCUGCCAGGAAUGUGGUGUGGCCUUGACUCAGAUUGGUCUUUAUUAAAGCACUUCACAAAUCUCCAGAUGCUGUGCUUGCCUUUGUGCAGACAUUGUACCUCAGGGAGACCGUGGCCGCAUGGCUCAGCCUCCUGCCAACUUUACAUUCUUCCUGCUUGGGGACCUGACAUCGCUCGGAUGACUUGGGCCCACACUUGCAGGUUUAAAGUGUUUUAUCCAUAUUUUUAAAAAGUUCUUGUUAACGUUGAUUUUUUUUUAAAAAAAUUUAAUUUAAUUUUACUUUGGCUGGUGGUCAGACCUAGGGCCUUGCAUGCCUGCUAGGCACGUGCUCUCCCACUGGGAUAGACUGCCCUGGUUUUCCUUCUUUUUCCUUCCUUUCUUUCUCUCUUUUCUUACUCCCUCCCUUUUUGUUUGUUUUUGUUUUUAAAGCCUAAUUUUCUAUACUAGUCCUUAAAGUUCUACAUGGUCAGUGUGUUUUGUGGAAUCUUGUAGUGUUCCUCCACUCUAGGGCACUGGAGUGUUUGUGUCUCGACACCGCUUAUUCCUUGUCUAGUGGACAGUCUAGUUUUGAUGUAAGCUCCCAGCCCUUACUCCAUGUGAUCUGUUAACUUGGGAAGUGGUAACAGUUUCUUUUUGCUUUGCUCCCCUGGGACUAGUUGAGCAUGUGCAGAGCUGCUCUGACUUUCUGUGGUCUGUUGUGUUCAUUUUACUCAGCAGUGCCUCUGCAUUUGUCCACGGAGGUCACAGGAGACAUGAGAUACUGGCUUUUGUGUGGACAGUGUUCUUUGUGGGGCCAGUGAUGUAGCUCAGGUGGUAGAGUGCUUAACUAGCAUGCACAAAACUCUGGGCUUGAACCCCAGCACCACACAGACCAGGUCUGGAGGCAAGAUCAGAAAUUCAAGAGCAACCUGAACUCUAUGAGACCCUGUCUUACAAAAGCAAAGUUAUUUGGAAAACACUGUAGUUUUUAAGGAAGAGAGAGAGACGUAGGACUAAGUUGGGCUAAAGCUACUGCUCUGGUGUGUUGUGACUGAGCAUCCGUCUGCUUCUUGCCUUCCAGGUCUCACCAAUGGCUUUGGGGGUGCUAGAAGCGAACAGGAGCCAGGAGGGGGCCCAGGGAGGAAAGCUGCGCCCCGGCGGCGCUGUGCAUCUGAAUCCAGUAUUUGUUCCAGCAACAGCCCACUCUGCGACUCAAGCUUUAGCACACCCAAGUGUGGGCGAGGGAAACCUGCCCUUGUGCGAAGGCACACGCUAGAAGACCGAAGCGAGCUGAUAUCUUGUAUUGAAAAUGGAAACUACGCUAAGGCGGCCAGGAUUGCAGCUGAGGUGGGCCAGAGCAACAUGUGGAUUUCCACUGACGCUGCUGCCUCCGUCCUGGAGCCCCUGAAGGUGGUAUGGGCCAAGUGCAGCGGCUACCCCUCCUACCCAGCACUGAUUAUUGACCCCAAGAUGCCACGAGUGCCUGGCCACCACAAUGGCGUCACCAUCCCUGCGCCGCCGCUGGAUGUGCUGAAGAUCGGUGAACACAUGCAGACCAAGUCCGAGGAGAAGCUCUUCCUUGUUCUGUUUUUCGACAAUAAGAGGAGCUGGCAGUGGCUUCCCAAGUCCAAGAUGGUCCCUCUUGGUGUCGACGAGACCAUCGACAAGUUGAAAAUGAUGGAAGGGAGGAACUCUAGCAUCCGGAAGGCUGUGCGGAUUGCAUUUGAUCGAGCCAUGAAUCAUCUGAGCCGGGUCCAUGGGGAGCCAGCCAGUGACCUCAGUGACAUUGACUGAGGUGGUUUCCAGCAAAGGCGGUGGCCAAAGCCUCAGCCAGCCGGGAGCUCUGUCCAUAGUGUUGAUAAGCUGUACAUGUUUGUAUAUUGUUCAGAACUUAACUUAUUCUGGUUUUCUAGGCGUAGUUCUUUAAUUCUUUUUCCCCUGGGGAGGGGAGGUUUCACUUCCAAGUUUUCUAUGAAACCAUCUGGUCUUGGCUUUGCAAGUGAGGAGGGUCUGUUGCGAGCAGUGUGGUGUUGGGGUCCCACUGCAGGUGCCGAGGGCCGAGGCCUCACUUAUUCUAAUCUGUAGGGUUUUUUUUUUUUUUUAAAGACUUUUGAAUGUUUAAUAAUUUUGUAGAUCAUGCUCUUUACACAGAGUACCGCUUAUUUAAUAAGACGGGAUGUAAAUUUACAAUGACAAAUGUGUAUUUUAAGAAAGAAAAUGACAUUAUUUUGAAUGGUACUUUGUGCAAAGAGGGAAUAAAUUUAUGCUGUGUGCAUCACUUGCAAAUCACCAAAAAAUGUCCCGCCAGCUGCUGCCGGACAGGGCCCGUUCUCCUCGUUGAUCUGACUGCCCUGAGUCUCCUGCUCUGCCCUGGCUCCUGCAGGCGUGCCUCCCAGCGGGUUAUUUAUUGUAGAAAGUGUACUCAUUUGCUUUAUAAUGAAAAAUAAAUUUGCAAAGGUAUAUUGAUAUGCAUUUUUAUACAGGCACAUAAAAAUUCAACUUGGUGUGGGAGCAGAAUGUGUUGCGAGGUUAUAUACACGACUGGCCUGUGUGUACUUUGAUUUUGUAACUUGUAAUCUUUUGUUUACAAUGAGGAGCUUUCUGUAACUUGUUUUCAUUUAGAACACUUUGGUAGCAAUAGACUUUGGAUACAUUUUGUAUGGUACAUGUGAUGUAUAUAGAAUUAGUCCUUUAUUUUUAUUUCUAAGAGGUAAAGCAUUAUGUUAGGGGAAAGGCAGGGUGGGUUUCCAAAUUUGCAUUUUUAUAUUAAAAAUAAAGUGAAGAUUUGGACAGUGUGGCCCUCUCAUUCCUGCAUCACUAGGAGGCUGGGUGAGCUGUAGCCUGAGGGACGUGAGGGACUCGGAGCACCGGGCCUGGAGUGGGUGGUGUGACACACUUGAUCUAACAGCUGACUCGGGAUGGCAUUAUUUAUUAUUUUGCCUAAUCAUAUUUUUAUUUUAAAGCUAAAUAGUUACUAAAAAUUUUAAAUGUUCUUUUAAAUCUACAUGUUUGUAAUAUCUCCAUAGAAACUUGAAAAUAAAAAGUCUUCCUUUGGUA